GGUCCCUUAGCUCAGGUGGAUCAGAGCGGCGGUUUCCUAAACCGCAGGCCGCAGGUUCGAGCCCUGCAGGGAUCA
rnacentral:tRNA from 2 species